UGGAGUUUGAACUUUUAUUUAAAAGUGUCCGAAAGGUUAAAUCACAAAAGUUUAGGUGAAUGCUCCCAAGGCACAAUUGGCGCUCCAGAAUGAGUGGGCUGCAGAAGACGCACUGACUCUCUGGACGCAUGUCGUACUUUUGGGGAUCGCUGUGAAGACCAUGGCCGGGAAGUCACAAAGGCGCUCACGCCGGGAUGGAUGUAACCUGGAGCCCGGGCCAGGUGAGGGCUGAGGUCGCGCUGCGCAGUGGGUCAGUCUGGCUCACCCGAAUGGGUUUUGAAAGCUGACUUUCUUCUCGCCUCUGCCCCUCGCCGAGGGGGAAUGAUCAUGCCGCUCCUCCCCUGGGUGGGUCCCGGCUCCUUUUCUGGCAGGGUCUAUUUGCAUAGAGGAAACUGUCCAAAGUGGCCGCUGUGGAGGAGCUGGCGAGGAGAAGGGGGCGUGCGCCGCGAUCCGCUACUACCCGAAGGCCAAGCCCCGCGCUGGGACGUCCUGGUGCCUCGGGCUCUCCUGUGCGCUCAGUCUGCUGCCCCAGGAGCAGCCCCGCUGGGAGCGGAGGCGGAGGGUUGC
rnacentral:lncRNA from 1 species